rnacentral:rRNA from 1 species
GAUGAACGCUGGCGGCGUGCCUAAUACAUGCAAGUAGAACGCUGAAGGAGGAGCUUGCUCUUCUGGAUGAGUUGCGAACGGGUGAGUAACGCGUAGGUAACCUGCCUGGUAGCGGGGGAUAACUAUUGGAAACGAUAGCUAAUACCGCAUGACAACAGUUAUUGCAUGAUAACUGUUUAAAAGGGGCAACUGCUCCACUACCAGAUGGACCUGCGUUGUAUUAGCUAGUUGGUGAGGUAACGGCUCACCAAGGCGACGAUACAUAGCCGACCUGAGAGGGUGAUCGGCCACACUGGGACUGAGACACGGCCCAGACUCCUACGGGAGGCAGCAGUAGGGAAUCUUCGGCAAUGGACGGAAGUCUGACCGAGCAACGCCGCGUGAGUGAAGAAGGGUUUCGGAUCGUAAAGCUCUGUUGUAAGAGAAGAACGAGUGUGAGAGUGGAAAGUUCACACUGUGACGGUAUCUUACCAGAAAGAGACGGCUAACUACGUG